UGGCACUACCUUUGAACCCAGAAGCUGUAAUCUGCAAACUUUUGGGUCUAGCUGUAGUGCAAGAAUAUAUGCUUGUUUGUAACUGGAGCUUCUCAGUAAUUUUCUGAGCUGCUUUUUUAAGUACAAGCUACAUCU